rnacentral:rRNA from 1 species
GACGAACGCUGGCGGCGUGCUUAACACAUGCAAGUCGAACGGAAAGGCCCUGCUUUUGUGGGGUGCUCGAGUGGCGAACGGGUGAGUAACACGUGAGUAACCUGCCCUUGACUUUGGGAUAACUUCAGGAAACUGGGGCUAAUACCGGAUAGGAGCUCCUGCUGCAUGGUGGGGGGUGGAAAGUUUCGGCGGUUGGGGAUGGACUCGCGGCUGAUCAGCUUGUUGGUGGGGUAGUGGCUUACCAAGGCUUUGACGGGUAGCCGGCCUGAGAGGGUGACCGGCCACAUUGGGACUGCGAUACGGCGCAGACUCGUACGGGAGGCAGCAGUGGGGAAUAUUGUCCAAUGGGCGGAAGCCUGAUGCAGCAACGCCGCGUGCGGGAUGACGGCCUUCGGGUUGUAAACAGCUUCAGCCUGUGACGAAGCGUGAGUGACGGUAAUGGGUAAAGAAGCACCGGCUAACUACGUG